UUUCUGACUCAUCAUCACUGCUCAUUGGUGAGGAUGGAGAAUAGAAGAGUGAACUCUGCGUUUGAGCAUAUGCUUGUUGUUCAUGAAGUGCAACACUUUGGAUUCAGACUGCAUACUACUUCCCAUGACUGAAAUUUCUUCCAGUUCUUUCUCUGGUGUCACUGAAGAGAUAACAGUCUCACAAGCUGUGCUUAAAGAAGAUGUUGUUUUCACUGACUGUUGCUGAGGAACUGUGAUCACCUGAGAUAUAAAAAGGUAAAAGUGGGUUGGGGAUAUAGCUCAGUGGCAUAGUGCCUGCCUGGCAAGAGUAAGGUUCUGAGUUUGAUUCCCAGUAUCUGCCCAAAAAAUAAUAAGCUAAAUUUCAAAAAAAAAUUAAACAUCAACAUACAACAUAGACACGUGGAUGGCCUGCUAGGAUGCACAUGUAUUGGUAGUAUUAAAACUGAAAAAGACUACCUUCUUCCCAGUAUUCUGUCCUGUAUUUGGGCUCUUUGGAUAAACAGUUGAUUUUAUAUUUAUCAAAAAAAUUCCACAAAGUUGCCAAGAUUAUAAAGGACAUGAAAUUAAGUUUAUAAAACAGAUCUCCCACCCAUCAAAGAAUAAUGACCAUUUCUAUACUAUCUUCUAGCUACUAAAAUCCCCAUUUCUGUAGAUUCAUUCUCCUUUACAGAUGGCUUCAAAAGGUGAGAUGCAUGCAAAGUGAACAAUUUAAAAAUAAAAAGAUCUACAUUUAAAGUAAGUACCAUCUACAGACCAAUCUUUAAAUACUGUUACUUUUUUUUCUUCAGUGCUAGGGAUCAAAUCUAGGGCUUCAUAAACAGAGCUAGGCAAGUGCUCUACCACUGAGCUAUAGCCCCAGCCAUGCUGUUACCUUUUAUAAGGACUUUGUAAAUAAGGAUUCAA